AAAGGUGGGUCAAAUAUGUGCUCAGGAGUGUUGGAAAUUUCGUUUAGUAUUUUCAUACAAUUUUAAAUCAAUGAAUUCAUUAUAUUAGAGCUUAGUGAGCCUGUGAUUUUUGGUCAUCUUACUCUUCCAACAAGCCUUUAAUUUCUUUAGACAACAUAAAGAAAAUGAAGAACUUCUUUGUCAGACUACCGUAAAUUAGACUUGUUGCCAAAGAUCUACAAGUCAAUGAUUUCAUUUGAGAACUUAAAAACAAUACUCCUUUAAUGAAGUAGACUAAAUUAAACAUAACUUUAGAGAAGGGAUUAAAUUAGCUGAGGUUGUGUCCAGCACGAAAAAUGUACGACACGGUACCUCCUGGCGGCCGACGAAGAAAAGAACGAUCGAAACUCAGGUGGAAGGAUCAAGUGGAUGUGGACCAGAAGAUGCUUGAAAUCCCUAACUGGCGCCGUCGUGCGCAAUGCAAAGACGACUCUCGAAGGCUUAUGGACGCGGCCAAACCCGACACCCGGUUAUAGUGCCAAUUGAUGAUGAUCUGUUUUAGGAAAGAUCCGUAAAUGAAGAUUACAGAUGAAUAGUCCGGGGUGAUUUCAAAAAUUUCCGAAGCUAGUUCAAUCGGAUGACUAAAGGUAGGGAAUCCAAAGACAGCAGAUUCAGGCCAAAUUUGGAAUAGUAUUCCAAAAACUAGGACCAUUACAACAACAGCAUUCUUAUCUGUUAUCACGACUAUCGGUUAAGUCCUCAAACAGAUCCUGGUUUUUGAAGAAUUAGAACGAAUCGGUACCCACUAAGUAGUGUUUAAAAAAUGUAAAUGUCUCCAAAUACCGAAAUACCGACUAUAGCGCAUACCUCGUAAAGUUUCGCAUCUAAUUCUGGGGAAAUCCGUUAAAAACAUUGUGGCGUCAUCCGAGCGCAAAUUCUCGCGCAUAUUCUCAUCAACAGGCUACUAGGCUUGUAAAGAUCCAACAGGAAAAAUUAAACAAAAGGAAUCAAGAAAGUAUUUUGGGCUUAAUAAUAUAUAGUAUUUUAUAAUAAAGCUUUCAUUAGAGCUGUUGAGUAAUGGUAUAACAUGAUCAAGGAUUUGAUAAAGGGUUACCACAAGCUGCCUUUCCAUUAACAGAAUUUUCACCUAUCUAAAGGAGAUUAACAAACACAAAAUCUAAUAAUUUGAAAAAAAAAUACGACUGGAGUUGCCAUAUUUAAAAAAAUAUAUUAUAUUAUUUAUAUUUGCAUACAAUAUUAUAUAUAAUUGGUAUGAAAGUUGCCAGCAGUGU